rnacentral:rRNA from 1 species
UCCGGAAUAUUGGGGCGUAAGAGCUCGUAGGCGGCUUGUCGCGUCUGCUGUGAAAGCCCGGGGCUCAACCCCGGGUCUGCAGUGGGUACGGGCAGGCUGGAGUGCAGUAGGGGAGACUGGAAUUCCUGGUGUAGCGGUGAAAUGCGCAGAUAUCAGGAGGAACACCGAUGGCGAAGGCAGGUCUCUGGGCUGUAACUGACGCUGAGGAGCGAAAGCAUGGGGAGCGAACAGGAUUAGAUACCCUGGUAGUCCAUGCCGUAAACGUUGGGCACUAGGUGUGGGGGCCAUUCCACGGUUUCCGCGCCGCAGCUAACGCAUUAAGUGCCCCGCCUGGGGAGUACGGCCGCAAGGCUAAAACUCAAAGGAAUUGACGGGGGCCCGCACAAGCGGCGGAGCAUGCGGAUUAAUUCGAUGCAACGCGAAGAACCUUACCAAGGCUUGACAUGUGCCGGACCGUCCCAGAGAUGGGGCUUCCCUUCGGGGCCGGUUCACAGGUGGUGCAUGGUUGUCGUCAGCUCGUGUCGUGAGAUGUUGGGUUAAGUCCCGCAACGAGCGCAACCCUCGUUCCAUGUUGCCAGCACUUUCGGUGGGGACUCAUGGGAGACUGC